rnacentral:lncRNA from 1 species
UAAAGGGAGAGCCUGGUUUCCAUGGUUACCCUGGAUUACAGGGUGAAAGUGGUGAUUUUGGAGUCAAAGGAGGUCCAGGCCCCAAAGGAAACCGAGGCAGAGGGGGGAACUCGGGCAGGUCGGGUGAGUCAGGAGAUCCAGGAUCCAUUGGACCACCGGGACACACUGGCUCUAGAGGCAGACCAGGAGAGAGAGCCAUGUCUGAAUGCCAGCUGACCACCUAUAUCCGUGAUAACUGUGCAUGCUCUCAAGGUAUGUCUCCAUUAACCCUUCCUCGUCCAAAUAAAUGUAUGUACUUGACUGUAGAUUCUGGUGUAAUCAAACCAGAACUC